rnacentral:rRNA from 1 species
UACAGAGGGGGCAAGCGUUAUUCGGAAUUAUUGGGCGUAAAGGGCGCGUAGGCGGCCUGACAAGUGGAUGGUGAAAUCCCUCGGCUUAACCGAGGAACUGCCAUCCAGAUUGUUUGGCUUGAGACCGGGAGAGGUGGAGUAGGCAAUUCCAUGUGUAGGCGGUAGAAAUGCGUAGAUAGUUGGGAGGAACACCAGUGGCGAAGGCGGCUCACUGGACCGGUACUGACGCUGAUGCGCGAAAGCGUGGGGAGCAAACGGG